rnacentral:rRNA from 1 species
AUGGCGCGUGGUCUGGUUUCUGCUCAUGCUCAAGCCACGGCCGAGGCUGAUGUUGGGUUGCUAGGUGGACGUGGGCGUGGUCGUGGGCGGUCUGCUGGUCGUCGUGGACGAGCCACUGGCCGUGGAGGUUCUAAUAUAGGGCGUGCCCCUGUUUCUGAUCAUGUCGCUGCCGGUGGGGUUGCUGCUUGCCGGGUGCCUGCCGCUGGGGCUGAGCCUCUUGACAGGCGUAGGGGUGUGAGUCAGCGGGUGCCUACUGCUGGAGCUGAGCCUAUCGCCAGGCAUGGGCGUGCGCUCGACAGGUGCCUGCCACUGGGCGUGGCGCCCUACCUCGGCCAAGUGGUAGGGGUGUUCGUGGUCGUGUCCCUGGUCAUGGUGCUGAUUCUGGGCAUGCAGUCGCUGCUGUACAUGUGUCUGUCCCUGGUCGUGCUGCUAAUCCUGGGCACGACACCACUUCUAUGCAUGUGCCUGUCCCUGCUCGUGCUGCUAGUCCUGGAGAUUGUUUUCCAAGGGCCUUUGCCGAAGGACUGGCAAGGUUUCUCGGUCAAGUUUGCCGAGUCCCUUAAAGAUAGGUCGUACUACGGCCCUCCGGAUUUCUUGUGUCAGUACUAUGGUGCCUCCUUUUGGUUUGCUGAGUGCUCAAAGUCCAGGUCAUCCUGGACACAACGUAAGAUGGUUUAUAAUCGCUGUUGCAAAGGCGCUAAGGUAUAUAUCCCUCCCUUUAAGGAUCCCCCGGCCUAUCUCCGGGAGCUUCUUCGAUUCGAUGAUACUUCUCGUGCUAAAAAAUUCAUCCGGACUAUACAUGAGUACAACUAUAUGUUUGCUUUCACUUUGAUGGGUGCUACCAUUGAACGCUCGUUUGGUGGCAGCCGUGGACCUAAGAUUUUCAAGAUCAAUGGUCAAGUGUCUCAUCGUAUUGGUUCGUUGGUGCCUAGCGGUGAUGAUACCCCUAAAUUUGCUGAGUUGUAUAUACAUGACCCAGCUAAUGAGAUUAGACAUAGGAUGAAUGCCUUAAAUCCAGAUGAUAAGCCUACUGGGGGUGUGGAUGAGAGUAUUGUGGUUGGUCUUAGAGACAUGCUUAAUGAGUUCAACCCAUUGGUACAGACCUUUAGGGAGGCGAGUAAGAUGAUAGAGGAUCGUGGUGAUGAACCCAUUGAGGAUAUCUCGAUUCGUAUUAUUGGGCCUUCAGAGGGCGAUAGUCCACAAUUUAGUUUGCCUACAACCACUGGGCUUGCUGCUUUAGUUAUCGGUGGUGGCUUCACGUUAGAGGCAUCUUCUCGGGAUAUUGUUGUUUGCAGUCGUUCCGAUGGUUUGCAGCAGAUAUCUUCUCUGAACACCGCAUUCAUGCCUCUGCAGUACCCGUUGCUUUUCCCUUAUGGAGAGAGGGGGUUCCAGGUGGAUGUUCCUAACUUGAUUGUUCCUGAAGAAGAUGAUGACGAUGGACCUGGAGAUCCCAAUCCUGCACCUGGAAGUCCGACCGUUGAGGCGUCCUCUUCAUACCCUUCUGGAGGUGGUGAUGCUUCCACAAAUAGCAGGAAUAGGAUGACCAUGCAGGAUUACUAUCGUUUUAUGUGCCAUUACAAGGGUGAUCAGCCCAAUCCAUAUAUAUGUUAUGGUCUCCUCUCCUCUCAGUUGGUUGUCGAUGCACGUGAUGGGUGUGUUGAUGGUGAUGCUCUUGGGAAGAGGACCAUUGUACCUUCCAGUCACAUCGGCGGUCGUUGUUACUUCCAUGAAAAUUUUCAUGAUGGCCUUGCCGUUUCUCGGGUGCACGGUGCACCCGACAUAUUUACCACUUUCACUUGCAAUCCCAAGUGGCUUGAGAUCUCCAGUGCAUUGGAGCCGGGUCAGACGCCUUCUGAUAGGGUGGAUAUUGUUGUUAGGGUCUAUCACAUGAAGCUCAUCGAGUACUUGGACGAGAUUAAGUCAGGCCGGGCUUUUGGCCCCAUUACGGCUGUAGAUGAGGUUCAGGAGUAUCUGAUAUGUCGGUAUAUAUGUGAGUACGAUGCAUUGUGGCGCAUAUUUGGCUUUGAGAUACACUUUAAAAUGCCGUCGGUUCAAAGGCUGACCGUUCAUAUGCCUGGCAUGAAUACUGUUCACUAUCGUGCUGGUGCUGACCUCAUGAAAAUUACGGCGAUGGUUGAUCUGCAGGCUCUUGUUGUGGGGAACAAGAACUUGACCAUCCAUGUGUAUGUUUCGAGUGUGUGGCAGCAUCGUGGGUCCACUGAUAACGGUCCUAUCAAACACACUGACAUGGUCCUUUUGGAUGCCCAGGUAUAUGGCAUCUCUAGCCCCCGUGCCCUAUGUUGUUUGGCAAUCACAUCUAUGCUGAGAUUGGUGAGAAGCUUGUGCCUAUGUUCAAUUGAGACAACCACAUCCAUGUUGUUUCUUGGCAGGUCAACCACACCUAUGCUGAGAUUGGUUCCUGAGCUCCUUUAUAGGUCUCUUGCUGUGAAGCUUGUGAUUAGCAUGCAUUUCAAGCAUUCAAUUCUUGUGGGGGUGGAGCUGGAGAAGGUGGGGCGUCAGAGCAGAGCCAGUUAUAGCGUCCACGAUCUCCUCAGGCAUGGACAAUCCCGCCAGAUUGACCACGUUGUGGGCUUUGAUUUGGUCAGCAUGCUGAAUAAGUCCCGGGUUUAUCCGUGUGUGGCAGAUCCUGAGAGUUCUGUCAGGACAGGGUUUGAACUGUCCGUGCCUACUGUUGCCCCAACGACUGUGGGCAAGAAAGGUCUGGAAGAAGCAGAACCCUUUACUAGCUCCGGCUCGCAGGCACAUAUUGCCAAAUCAUUUGGUUGCUUCAGAGCUAUGGUGACUGUUAUCACAACAAUGUCACUGUCCAUCCAGACUGUCAGGCUACUUGGAGACAGAUUGCCUUUUAGUAAGGUGCACACCUUCCAAGUGUAUAUCCUGGACUUGGUGCCUGGAGGUGAAACGACUUUGCAAUCUGUUGACAUCUGCACGUUCGUGCUCUGUAGUCUAUCAUGGAAUGAAUGUAAUUAUCUCCAGGUCCUUUGCCGCCACCUGCUCAUGGCUGUCAUCGUCCCUUUGGUGCACCAUGAAAUUCCUUUCCUUCUGAUCCGUGUACUGGAUCCAAAGAAGUAG